rnacentral:rRNA from 1 species
GAUCCUGGCUCAGGAUGAACGCUGGCGGCGUGCUUAACACAUGCAAGUCGAACGGAGGACCCUUGACGGAGUUUUCGGACAACAGAUAGGAAUCCUUAGUGGCGGACGGGUGAGUAACGCGUGAGUAACCUGCCUUGGAGUGGGGAAUAACACAGUGAAAAUUGUGCUAAUACCGCAUAAUGCAGUUAUCCCGCAUGGGGUUGGACUGCCAAAGAUUUAUCGCUCUGAGAUGGACUCGCG